CCUACGGGGGGCAGCAGUAGGGAAUUUUCCACAAUGGGCGAAAGCCUGAUGGAGCAACGCCGCGUGGGUGAAGAAGGUCUUCGGAUCGUAAAACCCUGUUGUUAGAGAAGAAAGUGCGUGAGAGUAACUGUUCACGUUUCGACGGUAUCUAACCAGAAAGCCACGGCUAACUACGUGCCAGCAGCCGCGGUAAUACGUAGGUGGCAAGCGUUAUCCGGAUUUAUUGGGCGUAAAGGGAACGCAGGCGGUCUUUUAAGUCUGAUGUGAAAGCCUUCGGCUUAACCGGAGUAGUGCAUUGGAAACUGGGAGACUGGAGUGCAGAAGAGGAGAGUGGAACUCCAUGUGUAGCGGUGAAAUGCGUAGAUAUAUGGAAGAACACCAGUGGCGAAAGCGGCUCUCUGGUCUGUAACUGACGCUGAGGUUCGAAAGCGUGGGUAGCAAACAGGAUUAGAUACCCUGGUAGUC
rnacentral:rRNA from 1 species